GCUCUUUUUACCCAACAUAUCUGGUGUUGAAAUCCAGGAGGAAGGUGGUCCAUUAAGUGACAAUUCCCCAUGGACCAGGGUCAAUUGGCCUUUCAACCACCUCUUCCAGACAUCUGCUGAACCAGGACCUCCUCGGGGCUUUCUACCUUUGCCAUUGCUGACAACUCACAUCCAAACCAGUCACUGAGUGAGUAGGUGUUCAACCACCAAAGUGCAGAGACCAACACUAAAAGGUAACUGGGCUAAGACCACCAAUAUGUUGGCCCUGGCUCUCCAAGGUCAUCAAAAAUCCAAGAAGCAGGUGACAGAAUCACGACUAACUUUAUGUAGGCAAAAGUGACUGAUACACACCACUUCCAAGAAGAACCUGUAAAACCCUCCCAUGGCAGCUGAAUAAAAGGAUGUCAAGGGUGUAGAAGAGGAAGAGUUUCAAUCCCUGCAUUGCU